UUUCUUCCAUGAAAGCGCUUGUGUUUGGUAGGCCUAGGGAAGAGUCUGGGAGAGAAAGCUGGUCAAACAGUUGUAAUUCUUUGAUGAUAGUCCCGUCUUAGAGACAGGUAAAAUGUCUCCUUUGUUGAAUAGGUUUCAGGCUUGCCUUCCCCAUGCAGGGCUCUGUGUAUGUAAAAUCACAAUUCAUUGACUUGGAAGUCGCUCUGGUUUGUACGUUGGUUUAGGUCGUGCUUUU